AUGGAUGAUAGUGGAUAAUUAUAGACAUGCUUUCAAAAUGGCGUAUGCUGAACAAUUUUAUUUUCAGUCAACUUGGAGCACACUUAAUCAUUUUAUGGCAAGAAUAGGUAAAUGUUGGCUGAACUGUAUAAAAUAAGGCGUUCAAGGAUGCAAUUCGGAAGCGUAAAAAGACUUGAGGCAUAUGCAAGAGAACUAUCUUCACGUAGCAGACUGACAUUUGUGGUGAAUUCACUGAAUUGUUCUGGAAGCUAACAGUUAUUGGUUGUUAUUCUGGCUAUGUGAAACCAAUCUAUCUGCAUGAGUUCUAUCAUGAUUUUAAACAGCAAAUCGAUGCGUUGCGUAUGAGUUGUAUCGACCAGCUUACUACACAGUCAACACUUCACCAAUUUGGAAUUUGAAACAUUUUGGUGAUAAGAAUUUUAUACCGACGUAUCCCUGCGAUAAAAAGACUCACAAGAAAAACUGUUUUGUUCAGAGUAAGAUUAAUAUAAAAAUUUUUGAUGCUAUGAGAUGGUCUCAUCAAUGUGCAACAAUUGAACUGGAUUUCCAACUUCCUGAGAGAUUCAACCUCACGCUAGGAUUUUAUGGCUUUCUCCCCAUCAAGUUGUAGUAAUUCCUGUCAGUAGUAAAUAUGAUGAUUAUGCCGAACCGGUAAAUUUAAUUUGAUUCAAAAGAAGUUCCAUGCAGCUGGUUAUCGUGUUGAUACAGACUUGGAUCACGGAUCAACACUAAAUAAGAAAGUUCGCAAUGCACAACUUUCACAGUACAACUUCAUUCUUGUUGUUGGUGAAAAAGAGACGGUCUCAUACACGGUCAACGUCAGAACACGUGACAACAAAGUACUCGGUGAAAAAUCGGUCAUGGCCGUGAUCGAACGCUUGCGAGAUUUAGUCAGCUCACGAAGUCUGACAAGCGCAGAUUUUUGAAGUAAAACAACAUUUUUAUGAAAAAUAGGUACGCGUACAUGCCACUGGUCACUGGCAAACUGGCGGCAUUGGUCACUAAUACUUUAUCAGUGGUGGUAAUAUUGAUUUUAUCGUGGUGGUAAAUUCUUUCAUUGGUAAUUUAUGGCGAUAACCAUCAGCAACUUUUCAACUUUUUACCAUCAAGUUUUCACUCAAACGAGAUCGCUUCUCUUUCAUAUUUUGGCUUGUUUCUUGAGCUAGUAGGAGGCUGUGUGCGUUGAUACAAGAAAAACUUUGUUGUGCAGAGGAAGAUCGAGGUAGAAGAACUGCUUGAAAAUGAAACUUCCAACAUUGAAGCAAAAUCAAGCAUGGCAGAAGAGAAACAACGACGCCAGGUUGAAGAUAGCUUGAUGAAAUUGAACGUAGUUGAAGCACCUAGCAUACGCUCGAGAGUUUUGGAUGAGGACUCGUCAACCACUGAAAACAUGAAUGAGUCCAAGCAUGUUUACGACGAUAAAGGCUCUUGCGAGUUGACAUAUUCGUCGUGUUUUUUAAAGGCAACUUUUCAAACGAAGUUUGUGGAGUUGGGUCAUCCUCCAGUUGGAUGUUGCUCUCUAACUGUACCUAAUUUAUUUGGUCAUUCACAGGCAAUGUCUGUUAUUCUAUGCAACACGAAACUCGACUGCGACAUGGCAAAGGAACGCGGAAUUGUCGCAGAAAUUUUAUCUUUCAAACAUUUCGAGGAGGAGCUCAAUUCACUUUUGGCGAGAUCUUCACUAGUUUCUAGACAGUGCCUUCGAGAAACAGACGUUGAUGGUCAACGGUAAUAUACAAGAACUUGAGGAUAAAAAUCACGAGGAACGCGAUUUGUUUCAAAAGUACAUCAACAACAUUGCAUCGUAAGAAGAUGGUGGACGAGCUUACAGGAAUGGCUUACCAUCCAGACACACAUGAAAACCAAGAAUUGCUGUUUUCAAAACUAUUAUUAAUGUUCGCCUGAUAAGAUGAAGACAAGAAAGAGCGACACGCGGCUUUCGC